UCUUGCCGCGGAUGUCCGAGAGCUCUGCCUGGCUUUCUGCCCUGCCCGCCGUCCUCCUGGAGAAGCACAGGGCCGCCCUUCUGGCUCCACAGCAGGGAGGCCGGGCCUGCACCGCCCCCCCCCCAUGUCGGGGAAGGCAGUCCCGGACGAGCGUGCAUGAGAAGUGUGUUUGGUUCACGACACAGAUGAUCGUUGGGCCAGGAAGAGGUGCUGAGCUGAGUGUGGGGAGAACAUAACCUAAUGCGAAAAAUUCAAAGUAGAUGCUGCCAAGGAAAAUAUUUUUUUAUGCAAGAAAUUUUCCUACAUAUUUUUAUCAUUAGAAAAAUGACAAGGCUCGAGGAUGUAGCUCAGUGGUGCCUCGCCUGCCUGGCAAGCAAGGUCUUGAGUUCGAUCCCCGGUAACAGAAAAGAAAGAAGGAAGAAAGGAAGAAGGAAAGAAAGGAAGGAAAAAUGACCUAUCAUUUGGUUUGGUAAGAGAAGAUGAAUUCAAACAAAACUAUGUGAAAUGAAGUGAGUGUGUUAAACCUGUAACAUCAGCUGUUGUUCGGUGUCUCCAGAGCUGCUUUUGCCCUUCAUAUUCACGUCUAAAAUGGCUCCUCUUCCUUCAGAAGAACAAGCCUGAGAAAUAAAUACAUCAGCCCUCUGA